CCCACUUGCCUGUCCCUCAGUGUCACUCUGACGUACGGCGUGCGGCUAUGGACAUACAUUCUCCAAAUGCGAACUCGCAGAACAGAAGCAGCCAUUUCAUCUAAGGGCGUAUGACAUAAUUCCCAAUUUUUAUUUGGCUUGUUUGGAAUAUCUGUCCAGCUCAAAAAUGGCUCCAGCGGUUGUAAAUAGGUGUUGGCAUGACAGAAUGGUUUUGUGGAAACUACAAGCAUAUGACAGCCUAAUUUUAUUCCGCGACGUUGAGGCCAGUUUGUAGUCUGCAGGUGAUGCUAAAGUUAUCCGAUCUACAGCACCAGGUGACAUACAGCCAACACUUAGUGUCUAGUUCAUUGUCAAAAGAAAUGUCUGUGCCUGCUUUGUUAAUACAGAUCUAGCAGCGUGAAGCGAGAGGCCAUAAUGUACAGAGGUCUUCAUCCUCAACUGCGUCUGCUGAAGAAAUGCUUCUGUGUAAUCACUAGACUACUGGCAAAUGAGAUGAGGUGAAUGUUGACUAAAAGCUCACAUCCAGGCUGCAAGUUGGUUAUCCAGUCAAGCUGCUGUUUGUUGCAUGAAAAGGAUACAUCUGCUGCUCAAGAUCUGCACAAGAUGAGAUUUUGCUGGGACACCAUAUAAGGAUGCCAAGGAUUCAACCAGAUUCGUCAAUCCUCAGACGUGUUCAGAAAGCCUUGUUGGCAUAUAUAUGUUCAAGCACUGGACAAAAUGUCUAUAUGAAACAUUUCUCCGUUACAUCAGCCCAGGUGUUAACAGCUGGAGUACGUGUGUGUGUUUUGUGUAACUGCUGCUCUCACAACUUGUGUACCCAUGGAAAGGGUUUGUCUUUGGCGUUCCUGUUAGAACUAUAAACCCGGCUAUUAAAAUGCUAAAGUGUCUCUGAUGAUAUUUGUUCUAUUAAUAAAGCUCUGACUGAUCUUA